GAGGAAUAUUGGUCAAUGGGCGAGAGCCUGAACCAGCCAAGUAGCGUGCAGGAAGACGGCCCUAUGGGUUGUAAACUGCUUUUGUAUGGGGAUAAAGUCAAUCACGUGUGAUUGUUUGCAGGUACCAUACGAAUAAGGACCGGCUAAUUCCGUGCCAGCAGCCGCGGUAAUACGGAAGGUCCGGGCGUUAUCCGGAUUUAUUGGGUUUAAAGGGAGCGUAGGCUGGAGAUUAAGUGUGUUGUGAAAUGUAGACGCUCAACGUCUGACUUGCAGCGCAUACUGGUUUCCUUGAGUACGCACAACGUAGGCGGAAUUCGUCGUGUAGCGGCGAAAUGCUUAGAUAUGACGAAGAACUCCGAUUGCGAAGGCAGCUGACGGGAGCGCAACUGACGCUGAAGCUCGAAGGUGCGGGUAUCGAACAGGAUUAGAUACCCUGGUAGUCCGCACAGUAAACGAUGGAUGCCCGCUGUUGGUACCUGGUAUCAGCGGCUAAGCGAAAGCAUUAAGCAUCCCACCUGGGGAGUACGCCGGCAACGGUG
rnacentral:rRNA from 1 species